ACACGUAAACAACCUGCCUUCAGGAUGGGGACAACAGACGGAAACGACUGCUAAUACCGAAUAAGUUCCAAGAGCCGCAUGGCCCAUGGAAGAAAAAGGUGGCCUCUACCUGUAAGCUAUCGCCUGAAGAGGGGUUUGCGUCUGAUUAGCUGGUUGGAGGGGUAACGGCCCACCAAGGCGACGAUCAGUAGCCGGUCUGAGAGGAUGAACGGCCACACUGGAACUGAGACACGGUCCAGACUCCUACGGGAGGCAGCAUG
rnacentral:rRNA from 1 species